ACGGGACGAAGUUAGCUGAUGAAGGCAUUGCUUGGAUCUCCUGGAUUUCAGGCCCCGUGUCCAGCAAAACAAGUCUUGAGGGGAAUUCUGAAGUCACCAAAUAAGUUCCCAGCAGCCACUCACCCAGUCAGAGAUUUGUCUUAAGGUGACGCCGGAGUAACCACAAGUUCAAAUCCCUGCUCCGCGCUUCCAGGAAGGGAGCUUCUGCGGCCAUCUGAAUUCUGCCCGUGGUAGGCUAAGGAAUAAAGAAACAGGGUGGAUCAUGAGAAGUGCUACUGGGCGAAGACCAGGCUGCUGUGACAGAGGACACCUGCUCAGCUGGGGCGGCGAGACCGGGAGGAGAGUGAGCGGCCAGGAAACAGCUAAGAACAAACCAACCGCACUGAAGCAGCAGGAGGCUCAGAGGCUCUGGGGCUCGUGGAGGUAGGGCGAGAACACCCUGGUCUGAAGCAA